CGGCAAUUGGAGGAAACUCUGACCGAGCAACGCCGCGUGAACGACGAAGUACUUUGGUAUGUAAAGUUCUUUUAUCAAGGAAGAAAAGCAAGUGGCGAACCAUUUGUUUGCCGGUACUUGAUGAAUAAGCCCCGGCUAAUUAUGUGCCAGCAGCCGCGGUAAGACAUAAGGGGCAAGUGUUAUCCGGAAUUAUUGGGCGUAAAGGGUGCGUAGGCGGUCUAGUAAGUCAGUGGUGUAAUGGCAACGCUCAACGUUGUCCGGCUAUUGAAACUGCUAAACUUGAGUUAGAUAGAGGCGAGUGGAAUUCCAUGUGUAGCGGUAAAAUGCGUAAAUAUAUGGAGGAACACCAGAGGCGUAGGCGGCUCGCUGGGUCUUAACUGACGCUGAGGCACGAAAGCGUGGGGAGCAAACAGGAUUAGAUACCCUGGUAGUCCACGCCGUAAACGAUGAGUACUAAGUGUCGGGUUAAACCGGUACUGAAGUUAACACAUUAAGUACUCCGCCUGAGUAGUACGUACGCAAGUAUGAAACUUAAAGGAAUUGACGGGACUCCGCACAAGCGGUGGAUCAUGUUGUUUAAUUCGAAGAUACCCGAAAAACCUUACCAGGUCUUGACAUGUUUUUGCGAAACGGUAGUAAUAUCGUAGAGGUUAUCAGAAACACAGGUGGUGCAUGGUUGUCGUCAGCUCGUGUCGUGAGAUGUUAGGUUAAGUCCUAAAACGAGCGAAACCCUUAUCGUUAGUUGCCAGCACGUUAUGGUGGGGACUUUAACGAGACUGCCAGUGAUAAACUGGAGGAAGGUGAGGAUCACGUCAAAUCAGCAUGCCCCUUAUGACCUGGGCUACAAACGUGAUACAAUGGC
rnacentral:rRNA from 2 species